GCUUACGGCCAUACCACCCUGAACACGCCCGAUCUCGUCUGAUCUCGGAAGCUAAGCAGGGUCGGGCCUGCUCAGUACUUGGAUGGGAGACCGCCUGGGAAUACCAGGUGCUGUAAGCU
rnacentral:rRNA from 1 species